CCCGCCCCGCGUAUUUAGCGGGGUCCCGGCGGGACUCGCCCUUUCCGAGGGGAUCGGCGCCGGAGCGGCCGCGCUGCCCGCCUCCAGUCGGCGUGUGCGCCUCGGCAGAAGGUGAAGCUCAAGAUGAGAUUAUUACUGGCUUUGGGAAUCCACAGUCCAGACUCUGCCAUGUCUUGCAAGCAGAAAGAUGCCACGUGAAUUCUGGAGCUACAGAAAUCUGUGACAUCAGAUGACCACCGUCCACUGUCUUCCAGGCUUGUGUGUGCACACAGAGUUAACAGGAGAAUCCUCCCAUUUGUAGAAGUGUGGGUGUUCAAGAGCUUGAAAACAGCAGCCUGGAAUGUGGAGUUCUAAUGCACUUGGAAAUGCUUCCAUUGCCCUUCCUGCUCAUCAGAAAUACUGCUUGGUUCCAUAGAACAGCAGGGGAGAAGCUGUUCACUGAAAAGGAAUAAUCCUGGAAUGAAGUUCAGGAUACAGUGUCACUCUAGAAAGAGAAGUGGCCUUAUGGGCAGUCUUAGAACUUAGUAUGAAUUUUUGAGUGUAUCAAAUAAAUGGAUCAAAAGUGAAUAAGGCAAAGAUAAAAAUGUGGGAAAACUUGUGUUGUCUAAAUGAGUGUUUACAGUGUUAGUAGUGGGUAUGAGUAAAAUCUUGGAUUUCUGUUUUCAGUGAUUUAUUUUUUUGUUGAUGCUAUGGGAGCAGUAGAACUCUGAUCCUGCUGGAUGACAUCCUGGGUAGGAGUAACACAAGCCUUAAGUAUUCAGCUUGUCCUGAUUU